rnacentral:rRNA from 1 species
AGCGAACGCUGGCGGCAGGCCUAACACAUGCAAGUCGAACGAACUCUUCGGAGUUAGUGGCGGACGGGUGAGUAACACGUGGGAACGUGCCUUUUGGUUCGGAAUAACUCAGGGAAACUUGUGCUAAGACCGAAGGUGCCCUUCGGGGGAAAGAUUUAUCGCCAUUAGAGCGGCCUGAGUCUGAUUAGCUAGUUGGUGAGGUAACGGCUCACCAAGGCGACGAUCAGUAGCUGGUCUGAGAGGAUGACCAGCCACACUGGGACUGAGACACGGCCCAGACUCCUACGGGCGGCAGCAGUGGGGAAUCUUGCGGCAUGGGCGAAAGCCUGCCGCAGCCAUGCCGCGUGAAUGAUGAAGGUCUUAGGAUUCUAAAAUUCUUUCACCGGAGACGAUAAUGCCGGUACGCGGAGAAGAAGCCCCGCCUAACUCCGU